rnacentral:pre_miRNA from 1 species
CAAAAUUCUUGUCUUAAAUUUGUCUAAAUACGGAUGUAUCUAGUUACAUUUUAGUGUUAGAUACAUCUGUAUCUAAACAAAUGUAAGACAAGAAUUUUG